UAUGUACUCCUUCUGUUUCGAAUUACUUGUCUUGCAUUUAUCUAGAUACGGGGGUAUCUAGCACUAAAAUGAAUCUAGAUACAUCCGUAUCUAGACAAAUUCAAGACAAGUAAAUCGGAACGAAGGGAGUAGUUU
rfam:Triticum aestivum genome assembly, contig: Triticum_aestivum_CS42_TGACv1_scaffold_094491_2AL